AAUUGUGACAGCAUCCACACAAUGAAACGCUGCCAUGACGUAACAGCUACGUGAACGAAUGUUAUCCAACCCAGUAUAGCACAAGAGCGAAUAGUUGAAUAGAAAGCAAGGUCAUUAUGAAAUCAAGGGACAUUUUGAAGCUUUAGCUCCCACUGACCUUCGGCACAUGGCACAACUAUGAGGGCUCUGUCCAUAAAAACAGUAUUAGUGAGAUGCUGCGCCACUCCAACGCUGGAAGAUUCUCGAUACUUGACAUAGCACACUUUGGACGAGAAGUGUCGGACCAGGCCGCACAUCUGCGUUGUCGCCUGAUCCCCCCCCAGCCGCCGCACGUCGCUCUUACUCGGGUGGGUAGAGCCGAAGCUCCUCGAUGUCCCCCAGGAAGCCGAAGAGAGUGCGCAUUUGCUCGCUGCUCACCGUUGACGACAGAUUAGUCACCUGGACGACGUUAGUGCCGGAUAUUCCACUCAUUACGAAACAAUGACGUAUUUAAAACAGCAAUAAUGUUUAUAUUCGCCGAAUAUAUGUUCGUGUUUUUUUACAUCGGAGAUUUGCUGGCUUUUUCUCAUAGCACAAUUGAAUAGCCGGGCGCAUUACCGCCCCCCUGUGGGUGGAAGUCGCACAUGACAAGACAUUUGCACAGUCCAAAUGAUCAAUUUAAUUACAGUAAAUAAUACAACUAAAAAUCUAACUACAACUCAACCACGAACAGUAAUGUUAUGGGGCCUGAGUAGUCAUCAAUGCAACAAUUUUAUUCCUAAAAAUAAAUACUGCUAAACGUGUUUUAUCCAAGAAUGUGUGAUUUUACCAGCAGCCAAUCAAAGACUAAAAGAUGCUUAAAAAAAGGAACUCUCCAACAUUUUAAUGUAAACGAUUAAACAAACCAAUUAUGCACAGUGUGAAAGAGCAUUGGUUUAUUUUCCACAGGUGUUACGCCAGAAAAGAUUCAUUAUGUACAAAAUCUGGAAUGUCGCGUGGAUGCACGUCUGUGGUCUUAAGAAAUACACUAGCUACAUGUGAACACAGGUGCCUUCUGCAUUGGAACUUAUUGCUGCUUGUGCAACUGGAAAAGAGAAAAAAAAAAAAAAAUCACUGUGUGCGUAUAUAUUUACACAUUUUGAUUAGUAAUGCCUAAAAAAAUAAAACACAGAAUUGGCCUGCUAAAAAUAAAUAAGACGUGAGCAUCCCAAACAGACCCACAUGACGACGAAUGAUUUCCCAAGAUUGUCUACAAAAAGACGACAGUUUGACAUGAAUAUGAACGUCACAAUUUCAAACAAACACAAGAUGCGAAACAUGCUCACCGUUUCAUUAUUUACCGGCCCGUCGUCAACUACGACAAACAACCAUCUAAUUGACAAAAGUGACACUUUUACACAAAACGCAGAGACUAUUCUUCUCCACACUAUUGUAGACAUAUAAUAUAUAGAUUUAAUGUGAUACAAAACUCUCGUCCAUAUAUAAAAUCAUGUAAAAUCAUUGGUGGUGUUACUAAAAGAGUUUAAAAAAAAAAAAUCUUACGUGGAAAAACAAAAGGCUUUAUUGCUGUCAAGUGUGAAUAUUGCUUGUCGAAACAGUUCGAGGUCUUAUGGCACUUGCUUAUCUCCCCGGCAUGAGUCAAAUCAACAGGACUGGGCCCCAAAAAAUAAAAUAAAA